UUUCACCAGGUUCUUCUGUAAGUAACAGAAAAGCACCAAGUCAAGCCAAGGGAAAGAUCUACAAGUUGGAGUUCAAUGUGACAUACCACUUGAAGUUUGACAAUUCAAGACCACUGGAUUGAAGCCAAGUUUUGGGUUUGAGAAAAGAUUGAAAACAAGUUUCUGGUUUGAGAAAAGAUUGAAGCUAAGUGUUAGGAGUGUGGCAGAUAAGCAAUGAGGGUGAUUCAUGCAGAUUUUUAGUUUUUGACAAGAUGUUUUAGAAAUUGUCAAGGGUAUUGUUUUGUAUUAGAUCCUACAGUUGUCACAAAUUGUGUCUAAGACUACAUGUAUGAAAAAUUGACUGAAUAAAAAUAAUGAUAUAUUUGAAAA